GCGAGAGGAGGAAGGUGAGACGGGAGGCCAAGGCAACGGCGAGAUCCACGUCGAGCUGCCAUUGCCAUGGCCAUGACCUGAUCCACGAAGAGGUUAAAUGGGGUCGGCUGCUCCCUAAAGGACGACGAAGCUCUCCAAGGAUUGACCCGGCGAAAUACAAGAGCAUCUCAUCUGGAUUUAGCGUUCUGCUAAAGGAGCAAGGAGCUAGGGUUUUUUUCAGGGGAUGGGUGCCUACCUUGCUUGGUUACAGUGCUCAGGGGGCUUGCAAGUUUGGGUUCUACAAGUUCUUUAAGAAGACCUACUCAGAUAUGGUUGGGCCUGAGAAUGCCGUGAAGUACAUGACCCUAUAAUUUACCUUGUAGGGUCAGCUUCUGCUGAGGUAAUUUCUGAUAUCGCUCUAUGCCCCUUUGAAACUGUCAAGGUCCAUGUGCAGACACAACCUGGAUUUGCUUGUGGGUUGAGUGAUGGGCUUCCCAAGUUCAUCAAAUCUGAGGGUGCUGCUGGGUAAGUAAAUCUCCAGCCAUCUUAACAACUUCAUGAUUUGCUUUACUUACCCUUAUCCUAUGCGCUCUAACUUAUUGGUUAAUAAUGCCAGGCUUUACAAGGGAAUUGUUCCUCUCUAGGGUCGGCAGAUUCCUUACAAGUGCUUUCUCUCAUCAUUCUGUUAUAGUCUUCUAAUUUGAAUUGUCACUACUAUGGUUGUUUCACAAAUGUGGCCUGCUUUGGAACCAAAUGCUCUAAAGCUGGUCUCCUGUUUCAUCUAAUCGGCCUGUUUGUUUUUCUUUGAUACCAAUUGGUGAUGUUUAGUUACCUUUUCUUCUCCUAUAUGAGCAAACUACUAUCCUAUUGAUGGCCAACCAUGCUGAUACUAUUCUAUAUUCGUUUUACCAUUUCUAUUUGUUGCCUAGCUUACGGACAUUAUUCAUCGACUCCUUAGAGUCAUUCUCUCCACAGUUAUUCACUUUUCUUGCCAAAAGUAAAUAUGUUAGCCAGACAUGAGAUUACUGUAUGUAUGUCCAUCCACACUUGCGCUGCAGCAGAAGAGAACAACUUAGCAUAUAUGACCCACACAAUAAUAAAGAGUAAAGAAAAGGAUUAGAUAUUUUUAUAUAGUAUAAAUAAUAAAGAAGCGUGACCCCAGACUGUUAAAUAUGUGAUAUAUAUAUCCAAAGGAGAGUGAAGAUAGCUUUUUUGUUGUGCUGCCAACUGGGUUAACAAAUUCAGUUUAUGUUAUUGUUCUGUACAACAAUACCUUGCUAAACGAUGGACGUCCUCAGCGAAGAAAACCAUGUCCAUGACCCUCUAAAGAAGAAAGAACACAAGCCAUAAGAAACAAAUGCACUUUCAUAUACUUAGUAGAAGUCGACUCCAAGUGAAAAUGAGGAGUGCAUAGCCGGUUACCAUCUAAAGAUAUUGGCAUCAGAAAUCCUCAAACACCUCCUU